rnacentral:rRNA from 1 species
UUUUGUAUAAUGGGUCAGCGACUUAUAUUCUGUAGCAAGGUUAACCGAAUAGGGGAGCCGAAGGGAAACCGAGUCUUAACUGGGCGUUAAGUUGCAGGGUAUAGACCCGAAACCCGGUGAUCUAGCCAUGGGCAGGUUGAAGGUUGGGUAACACUAACUGGAGGACCGAACCGACUAAUGUUGAAAAAUUAGCGGAUGACUUGUGGCUGGGGGUGAAAGGCCAAUCAAACCGGGAGAUAGCUGGUUCUCCCCGAAAGCUAUUUAGGUAGCGCCUCGUGAAUUCAUCUCCGGGGGUAGAGCACUGUUUCGGCAAGGGGGUCAUCCCGACUUACCAACCCGAUGCAAACUGCGAAUACCGGAGAAUGUUAUCACGGGAGACACACGGCGGGUGCUAACGUCCGUCGUGAAGAGGGAAACAACCCAGACCGCCAGCUAAGGUCCCAAAGUCAUGGUUAAGUGGGAAACGAUGUGGGAAGGCCCAGACAGCCAGGAUGUUGGCUUAGAAGCAGCCAUCAUUUAAAGAAAGCGUAAUAGCUCACUGGUCGAGUCGGCCUGCGCGGAAGAUGUAACGGGGCUAAACCAUGCACCGAAGCUGCGGCAGCGACGCUUAUGCGUUGUUGGGUAGGGGAGCGUUCUGUAAGCCUGUGAAGGUGUACUGUGAGGUAUGCUGGAGGUAUCAGAAGUGCGAAUGCUGACAUAAGUAACGAUAAAGCGGGUGAAAAGCCCGCUCGCCGGAAGACCAAGGGUUCCUGUCCAACGUUAAUCGGGGCAGGGUGAGUCGACCCCUAAGGCGAGGCCGAAAGGCGUAGUCGAUGGGAAACAGGUUAAUAUUCCUGUACUUGGUGUUACUGCGAAGGGGGGACGGAGAAGGCUAUGUUGGCCGGGCGACGGUUGUCCCGGUUUAAGCGUGUAGGCUGGUUUUCCAGGCAAAUCCGGAAAAUCAAGGCUGAGGCGUGAUGACGAGGCACUACGGUGCUGAAGCAACAAAUGCCCUGCUUCCAGGAAAAG